UGAGACACCGCGAACGGGUGAGUAACGCGUGGGCAACCUACCCCAGAGAUUGGGAUAACUUUUCGAAAGGGAAGCUUAAUACCGGAUACCUUUGCUUUUAUGCAUGUAUUAGUAAAGAAAGUCUUCGGGCGCUUUGGGAUGGGCCCGCGUUCCAUUAGCUUGUUGGUAAGGUAACGGCUUACCAAGGCUACGAUGGAUAGCCGGCCUGAGAGGGUGCGGCCACACUGGGACUGAGAUACGGCCCAGACUCCUACGGGAGGCAGCAGUGGGGAAUAUUGCGCAAUGGGCGAAAGCCUGACGCAGCAACGCCGUGUGGACGAAGAAGGCCUUCGGGUUGUAAAGUCCUGUCACAGGGGACGAAGCCCUAACUUGUUUAGGGUGACGGUA
rnacentral:rRNA from 1 species